AUUGAACGCUGGCGGCAGGCCUAACACAUGCAAGUCGAACGGUAACAGGAAACAGCUUGCUGUUUCGCUGACGAGUGGCGGACGGGUGAGUAAUGUCUGGGAAACUGCCCGAUGGAGGGGGAUAACUACUGGAAACGGUAGCUAAUACCGCAUAACGUCGCAAGACCAAAGAGGGGGACCUUCGGGCCUCUUGCCAUCGGAUGUGCCCAGAUGGGAUUAGCUAGUAGGUGGGGUAACGGCUCACCUAGGCGACGAUCCCUAGCUGGUCUGAGAGGAUGACCAGCCACACUGGAACUGAGACACGGUCCAGACUCCUACGGGAGGCAGCAGUGGGGAAUAUUGCACAAUGGGCGCAAGCCUGAUGCAGCCAUGCCGCGUGUAUGAAGAAGGCCUUCGGGUUGUAAAGUACUUUCAGCGGGGAGGAAGGGAGUAAAGUUAAUACCUUUACUCAUUGACGUUACCCGCAGAAGAAGCACCGGCUAACUCCGUG
rnacentral:rRNA from 1 species